AUUUAUACCUUCUGAGAAAAUUUAAAUUUUGCAGUCGCAUGUGUCGGAAUAAGAGGGCAAUUGGAUAGCCAACGUAUCCAGAAACGAAAAAUGAAUUGAAUUACUUAUUUUACUAGCCUUUUUGAAUCGCCUUUAUUUUGAUACUUAUAAACCUUCUAUGUAUUUCGUUUUCUCCCACACGUUGCAGAUCAUUGUCCACGUAUACAUGAACCAAAA
rnacentral:lncRNA from 1 species